GAUGAACGCUGACAGAAUGCUUAACACAUGCAAGUCUACUUGAACUUCGGUUUGGGUGGCGGACGGGUGAGUAACGCGUAAAGAACUUGCCUCACAGUUAGGGUCAACAUUUGGAAACGAAUGCUAAUACCUGAUAUUAUGAUUUUAGGGCAUCCUAGGAUUAUGAAAGCUAUAUGUGCUGUGAGAGAGCUUUGCGUCCCAUUAGCUAGUUGGAGAGGUAACGGCUCACCAAGGCGAUGAUGGGUAGCCGGCCUGAGAGGGUGAACGGCCACAAGGGGACUGAGACACGGCCCUUACUCCUACGGGAGGCAGCAGUGGGGAAUAUUGGACAAUGGACCAAAAGUCUGAUCCAGCAAUUCUGUGUGCACGAUGACGUUUUUCGGAAUGUAAAGUGCUUUCAGUUGGGAAGAAAAAAAUGACGGUACCAACAGAAGAAGUGACGGCUAAAUACGUG
rnacentral:rRNA from 1 species